rnacentral:rRNA from 1 species
GACAGAGGGUGCAAACGUUGUUCGGAAUUACUGGGCGUAAAGCGCGUGUAGGCUGCUUGGAAAGUCGGGUGUGAAAGCCCUGAGCUCAACUCAGGAAGUGCACUCGAAACUUCCGAGCUCGAGUCCUGGAGAGGGUGGCGGAAUUCUCGGUGUAGAGGUGAAAUUCGUAGAUAUCGAGAGGAACACCGGUGGCGAAGGCGGCUACCUGGACAGUGACUGACGCUGAGACGCGAAAGCGUGGGGAUCAAACAGG